AAACGACUCCCGGCAACGGAUAUCUGGGCUCUCGCAUCGAUGAAGAACGUAGCGAAAUGCGAUACUUGGUGUGAAUUGCAGAAUCCCGUGAACCAUCGAGUCUUUGAACGCAAGUUGCGCCCGAAGCCAUCCGGCCGAGGGCACGUCUGCCUGGGUGUCACGCAACAUGUCGCCCCCAAAACCCUGCCCCAUCCCACCCCGGGCUUGCGGCAGCGGCAGGGCGCGGACGCUGGCCUCCCGUUGCGCACCGCUGCGGCUGGCCUAAAAAUGAGCGAUGGAGCGACGCACUCCGCGACGCACGGUGGUGGUAAAUUCGCCCCUCGGGCAACAGUCCGGACCGUCCCUCCCUCGGCGCUCGGCGGCCUUCCAUCAAAACACAUGCGACCCCAGGUCAGGCGGGGCCACCCGCUGAGUUUAAGCAUAUCAAUAAGCGGAGGAAAAGAAACUAACAAGGAUUCCCCUAGUAACGGCGAGCGAACCGGGAAAUGCCC
rnacentral:rRNA from 1 species